UGGAUUCUAGAUAGAGGGAGGGGCUGCGGGCAGAGAAAGGGAGACCUUAUCAGCAGCGGCAUCCCCAUCCCUCGCCAUCCCCCUCGCUACCUCCCUCCUCUCGGCCUGCCUCCAAUUCGGCGCCGCGCACGCCGGCCGCACGCUUCCAUCUCCUGCCUAGCGCGCCCCGGUGGCUCUGAUCCUUCCCGUGCCUGCCUCAUACCGAGCCGCGCCGCCACGUCUAGGGUCUUCUCUAGAUCCCGCCUGUCUCCUGCGCUUAUAAACGCACAGUCCCUCCCUGUCUGCUUUCUCCGCCUCCUCUCGCCACAGGUAGCUGAAGCUAGCUGCACUCCGUAGUCGUUGAGGCUUCUGGAGCGCAGCGUCAUCAAGGAGAAGCUUGUGCUGGAGGUCCCGGCAGGUUUAGCCUUGCUAGUGGUAGUCAAGCGAAGAAGGCUGCACGCGAGGAGGCCGACCGAUCGAAUAACAAGCUGGCGGCCGGCAAGUGGUGGGAGCGACCAGAUGACACGGCCAUGGCCGGAAUGGACCCCGGCGGAGGCGGCAGCUCGCGAUACUUCCACCAACUCCUCCGACCGCAGCAGCCCUCCCCGCUGUCGCCCACCUCCCACGUCAAGAUGGAGCACCAAAAGAUGUCGCCAGACAAGAGUCCGGUCGUCGAGGGAGACACCGGCGGGAGCGGCAGCGGCGCCGGCGGUGACCAGCCGUCCUCUUCGGCCAUGGUCCCCGCCGACGGCGGCGGCGGCGGCGGCUCCGGCUCCGGCUCGGGCGGGCCCACACGGCGACCGCGCGGGCGCCCUCCGGGGUCCAAGAACAAGCCGAAGCCGCCCAUCAUCGUGACGCGCGACAGCCCCAACGCGCUGCACUCGCACGUCCUCGAGGUCACGGCCGGCGCGGACGUCGUCGACUGCGUGGCCGAGUACGCGCGCCGCCGCGGCCGCGGCGUGUGCGUGCUGAGCGGCGGGGGCGCUGUCGUCAACGUGGCGCUCCGGCAGCCAGGCGCGUCGCCUCCCGGGAGCAUGGUAGCCACACUGCGGGGACGGUUCGAGAUCCUGUCGCUCACCGGCACGGUGUUGCCGCCGCCCGCGCCACCCGGCGCGAGCGGCCUCACAGUGUUCCUCUCGGGCGGGCAGGGGCAGGUGAUCGGCGGGAGCGUGGUGGGACCGUUGGUCGCCGCGGGGCCCGUUGUGCUGAUGGCCGCGUCGUUCGCGAAUGCCGUGUACGAGCGGCUGCCACUGGAGGGAGAGGAAGAGGAGACAGCCGCGGCUGCCGCCGGUGCGGAACCGCAAGAUCAAGUGACGCAGACAGCUGGACCCCAAGGGCAGCAGCCGACGGCGUCGCAGUCCUCUGGUGUGACCGGAGGCGAUGCCGGCGGUGGCGGCAUGUCACUCUACAACCUCACUGGGAAUGCGGGGGCCUACCAGCUCCCCGGUGAUAACUUUGGAGGCUGGAGUGGAGGCGGCGGCGGAGUCAGGCCACCACCGUUCUGAUCCAUGCCUUGCCAUCCAAAUUCACAUCCACAUGAUGAAGACGUAAUCACAGAGAUUCAAAUGGUGCAGAAGCUCUUGCCAUCCUAUACUUAGAGCUACAGGCUUACAGAGCUUAAUGGCAUGCGUACUGGAUUGUUCAUUGGCGAGACCUUUCAUCUGGGUGCUACACACGUAUGCAUAAUAUAAUGCAUGCGUUACACAUGAGGAGGAUUAAUCAAAGGUCAAGAAGAAGCUAGAGAUUAUUAAUGCAAGAGCUAGCUCAUAAUAAACUAAAGGUCCAGAAUUGACGCCGCAGGAUUCUCACCAUCUGUGUCUGCACCUUGCAGACUCCAAGACUCCAAGUACAAAUGCACAAUUCUGGAAAGGGGGGCGGUUUGCUUCAGUUGCUGAAAUGGGAAAAGGGCGAGGAAGCUUUCGCUUUUGCAUAAUUUGUGGGGAGAGCAAACGCCUUCAGCUUUGGAACUUGGUCAUGGCUUUGCAACUUUUGUCGUUGGAGAUGCCUAUGCACCAGACCAGACUUUGGUCAAGGCUCUCUCUCUCUCAUGUGUGUGUGUCUCUCAUGUAUUUGCCUGAGUGUUCUGCAAGUCCACUUGUCAUGUGCGUUUCCAAUGAGGUGUACUAUCCGAGAUUUGCAUUCUCUAUUUUC